UUUUUAUGAAUGUUUCUUCAUAUUUAGAUUUUUAGAACCAAGAGAUACCUUUGAUUUCUUUUUUGUUCGAAGAGUAGAGACCUCCUCUACAAAGUCGUCAUCCUGAGCAAUGUCUUUCUCUUUUCUUUUGACUUGUUUGACUGCUGUAGAACAUUUCCAACAUCUAGAUCAAAUUUUUUUUGUUCUCAUUUCAGCUCUUAUUUGUCGGGGAGAGGAAGUAUGACUAAUAUCUGUAAUUGCAUGUGUAGAUUUACCUAGGUUUUUGGGUGAUUUAGAUGAUAAAACACCCAAAUCAAAGGACGGUAAAUCAUC
rnacentral:lncRNA from 1 species